rnacentral:rRNA from 1 species
UACGUAGGGGGGCGAGCGUUUGUCCGGAUUUAUUGGGCGUAAAGAGCGUGUAGGCGGCCAGGUAGGUCUGCUGUGAAAACUCGAGGCUCAACCUCGAGACGUCGGCGGAAACCAUCUGGCUAGAGUCCGGAAGAGGAGAGUGGAAUUCCUGGUGUAGCGGUGAAAUGCGCAGAUAUCAGGAGGAACACCAGCGGCGAAGGCGCCGCUCUGGGCCGUAACUGACGCUGAGGAGCGAAAGCAUGGGUAGCAAACAGG